GCGUGAGAAUCUGCCCUCAGGAGGGGGAUAACGGCUGGAAACGGCCGCUAAUACCCCAUAUGCCGAGAGGUGAAAUGAAUUUCGCCUGAGAAUGAGCUCGCGUCUGAUUAGCUAGUUGGUAGGGUAAAGGCCUACCAAGGCUUCGAUCAGUAGCUGGUCUGAGAGGAUGAUCAGCCACACUGGGACUGAGACACGGCCCAGACUCCUACGGGAGGCAGCAGUGGGGAAUUUUCCGCAAUGGGCGAAAGCCUGACGGAGCAACGCCGCGUGAGGGAUGAAGGCCUCUGGGCUGUAAACCUCUUUUAUCAAGGAAGAAGAUCUGACGGUACUUGAUGAAUAAGCCACGGCUAAUUCCGUGCCAGCAGCCGCGGUAAUACGGGAGUGGCAAGCGUUAUCCGGAAUUAUUGGGCGUAAAGCGUCCGCAGGCGGUUUUACAAGUCUGUCGUUAAAGCGUGGAGCUUAACUCCAUUUCAGCGAUGG
rnacentral:rRNA from 1 species